rnacentral:rRNA from 1 species
CAAAAUUGAAACUACUCUCAGCAACGAAUAUCUUGGCUUUUACAUUGAUGAAGAGCGUAGCAAAAUACGAUACUUGGUGUAAAUUGCAGAAUCCCAUGAACUAUCGAGUUUUCAAAUGCAUGUUACACCCGAGGCCAUUAUACCGAGGUCACGUCUACCUGGGCAUUAUGCACAGCGUCACCCUUCGCCUCCGUCCCCAAUACAAAUCGGGGGCAUUGGGCUGAAUACUAGCCUUCCGUGCAGGCCCAUGUACGGCUGGCUGAAAUGAGAUUCAGGGUCAAUGCAAGUCACGACAAUUAAUGGUUGAAGACCUCAACUAGUGCAUUAUCGUGCACGACUGCAUCAUCCGGCCAAAAUGCUUUGAUCCCCAAGGUGUUCCCUACACUUUGACGAUGACCGCAAGUCAGACGGGAUCACCCGCUAAGUUUAAGCAUAUUAAUAAGAGGACGAAAAUAAACUUACAAGGAUUCUCCUUGUAGUGGUGAGUGAAUCGAGAAAAUCCCAACUUGAGAAUCAAAUGGCCCCAUAUUCAAGUUGUAGUCUAGAGAAGCGUCCUCAACAACGGACCGAGCUCAAGUCCUUUGGAAAGGGGCGCUAGAGAUGGUGAGAGCCCCAUUAAACUCAGACCCUACCGCACCAGAAGGCGCUGUCGACGAGUCGGGUUGUUUGAGAAUGUAGCCCCAAUCAGGCAAUAAAUUCUGUCCAGGGCUAAAUAUGGGCGAGAGACCGAUAGAGAACAAGUACCUUGAGGGAAAGAUUAAAAGAACUUUGAAAAAAGAGUCAAAGAAUGCCUGAAAUUAUCGAUUGGGAAGCAAAUGGGGGUCGAUGAUGAGUCCCGAUCGGAUGUGGAAUGGUGACAAGGUGGUCUAUCAAUCGACUUGGGGUGUGGACUAGCAUGAAUUAAGGUGGUGGCCAAAGCUUGGGCGAUCGACGUGCUUGUGGAGUGUCAUCAUCACAAUUAUGGCAAACAGCGCGCGCCCUCGAUGUCCUUAGGCACUUACGCGCUCUCGAUGCUGGCCUGCAGGCUCUCCAUUCAACCCAUCAUGAAACACAGACCAAGGAAUCUAACAUGUGUGCAAGUCAAUGGACGAGUAAAUCGCUAAGGCAUAAGGAAGCUAAUUGGCGUGAUCCCCAAGGGGUACAACGUCGUUCGACCUAGAUCUUCUAAGAUGGGUUUGAGUGUGAGCAUACAUGUCUAGACCCAAAAAACUAUGCCUGAGCAGGACGAAGCCAGAGGAAACUCUGGUGGAGGCUCGCAACGAUACUCAUGUACAAAUCGUUCGUCUAACUUGGGUAUAGGGGUGAAAGACUAAUUGAACCAUCUAGUAGAUGGUUCCUCCAAAGUUUUCCUCAGGAUAGAAGGAGCUCAGUUGUGAGUCCCAUUGGGUAAAGCCAACGAUUAGAGGCAUCGGGGGUGCAAUGCCCUCGACCUAUUCUAAAACUUUAAAUAGGUAGGACCACAGAAUCGAGAGCUCCAAGUGGGCCAUUUUUGGUAAGCAGAACUAGCAAUGCGUGAUGAACUGGAAGUCAGGUUACGAUGCCCAACUACACACUAACCUAGAUCCCACAAGGGCGUUGGUCGAUUAAUACUGCAGGACGGUGUUCAUGGAAGUCGAAAUUCACUAAGGAGUGUGUAACAACUCACCGACUAAAUCAACUAGCCCCGAAAAUGGAUGACACUGAAGCGCACGACCUAUACACAAUCGCUGGGGCAAAUGUUAGGCCCCGAUGAGUAGUAGGGCACGGUGCUCGCUGUAAAACCUUAGGCGCAUGCUUGGGUGGAGCGGCCGUCAGUGUGGAUCUUGGUGGUAGUAGCAAAUAUUCAAAUGAGAACUUUGAAGGCAAAAGAGGGAAAAUGUUCCAUGUGAACGACACUUACACACGGGUUAGUCGAUCCUAAGGAUCGUCGAAGCUCGACAGAUAGCACCUUUCGCACGAACACCGAAAGGAAAUCAGGUUAAAAUUUCUGAACCGAGACACGAUAGUUGACGAAAACAUUAGGGAGUCCGGAGACGUUGAUGGAGGCCUCAGGAAAAGUUAUCUUUUCUGUUUAACAGCCUACCUAUCCUAGAAACGGCUCAGUCGGAGAUAGGGUCCAGCAGCUGAAAGAGCACCCACAUUUCGUGGUGUUCGGUGCACCCCCGAUGACUUUUGAAAAUUUGAAGGCCGCAUCAGGUAUCCAAGGUAAACAGCCUCUGGUCAAUGGAAUAAUGUAGGCAAGAAAAGUCGGCAAAAUGAAUCUGUAACUUCGAGAAAAUGAUUGGCUCUGAGGGCUGGGAACGGGGGUCCCAAUCCUGAACCGGUCGACUAUCGAUAUUCUGCUCGAGCUACUCCUACGAUAAGAGCGGGUCAUCGUAUGUCGGUCAGGGGACGGACUGGGAACCGCUCCUUCGGGGGCCUUCUCCGAGCGUCGAACAGUCGACUCAAAACUGAUAUGGACAAGGAGAAUCCAACUGCUUAAUUAAAAUAAAGCAUUGUGAUGGUCCCUAUAGAUGCUCAC